rnacentral:rRNA from 1 species
UGGGGAAUCUUGCGCAAUGGGCGGAAGCCUGACGCAGCGACGCCGCGUGCGGGAAGAAGGCCUUCGGGUUGUAAACCGCUUUCAGGAGGGACGAAGCCACUCGGGUGAAUAGCCCAGAGGGUGACGGUACCUCCAGAAGAAGCCCCGGCUAACUACGUGCCAGCAGCCGCGGUAAUACGUAGGGGGCUAGCGUUGUCCGGAUUCAUUGGGCGUAAAGCGCGUGUAGGCGGCCAGGUAGGUCCGAUGUGAAAACUGGAGGCCCAACCUCCAGCUGUCAUUGGAAACCAUCUGGCUAGAGUCCGGAAGAGGAGAGUGGAAUUCCUGGUGUAGCGGUGAAAUGCGCAGAUAUCAGGAAGAACACCGAUGGCGAAGGCAGCUCUCUGGGACGGUACUGACGCUGAGACGCGAAAGCGGUGGGGAGCGAACAGGAUUAGAUACCCUGGUAGUCCACGCCGUAAACGAUGGGCGCUAGGUGUGGGCGGUGUCGACUCCGUCCGUG